rnacentral:rRNA from 1 species
ACUGAGACACGGCCCAGACUCCUACGGGAGGCAGCAGUGGGGAAUAUUGCACAAUGGGCGAAAGCCUGAUGCAGCGACGCCGCGUGAGGGAUGACGGCCUUCGGGUUGUAAACCUCUUUCAGCAGGGAAGAAGCGAAAGUGACGGUACCUGCAGAAGAAGCGCCGGCUAACUACGUGCCAGCAGCCGCGGUAAUACGUAGGGCGCAAGCGUUGUCCGGAAUUAUUGGGCGUAAAGAGCUCGUAGGCGGUCUGUCGCGUCGGAUGUGAAAGCCCGGGGCUUAACCCCGGGUCUGCAUUCGAUACGGGCAGACUAGAGUGUGGUAGGGGAGAUCGGAAUUCCUGGUGUAGCGGUGAAAUGCGCAGAUAUCAGGAGGAACACCGGUGGCGAAGGCGGAUCUCUGGGCCAUUACUGACGCUGAGGAGCGAAAGCGUGGGGAGCGAACAGGAUUAGAUACCCUGGUAGUCCACGCCGUAAACGGUGGGAACUAGGUGUUGGCGACAUUCCACGUCGUCGGUGCCGCAGCUAACGCAUUAAGUUCCCCGCCUGGGGAGUACGGCCGCAAGGCUAAAACUCAAAGGAAUUGACGGGGGCCCGCACAAGCAGCGGAGCAUGUGGCUUAAUUCGACGCAACGCGAAGAACCUUACCAAGGCUUGACAUCGCCCGGAAAGCAUCAGAGAUGGUGCCCCCCUUGUGGUCGGGUGACAGGUGGUGCAUGGCUGUCGUCAGCUCGUGUCGUGAGAUGUUGGGUUAAGUCCCGCAACGAGCGCAACCCUUGUUCUGUGUUGCCAGCAACCUCUUCGGAGGGUUGGGGACUCACAGGAGACUGCCGGGGUCAACUCGGAGGAAGGUGGGGACGACGUCAAGUCAUCAUGCCCCUUAUGUCUUGGGCUGCACACGUGCUACAAUGGCAGGUACAAUGAGCUGCGAUGUCGCAAGGCGGAGCGAAUCUCAAAAAGCCUGUCUCAGUUCGGAUUGGGGUCUGCAACUCGACCCCAUGAAGUCGGAGUUGCUAGUAAUCGCAGAUCAGCAUUGCUGCGGUGAAUACGUUCCCGGGCCUUGUACACACCGCCCGUCACGUCACGAAAGUCGGUAACACCCG